GUUGAAAAUUAUCACUGAAUCCUUUUUCCUUGUCAAAAGAUGAAACGGAACUGGAAGAUGGUCACCAAAUGUUGGUGGACCACAGGUUGAGAGUGCCAUAAGUCAAGGCCUCGGGACCAGGUUGGAGCCCUCCUUUUGGCACUUCUCCGCCAAAAUCAUGUGUGGUGUGUUCACUGCAACCUCAGUACCGAUGGUUUCAUCUCUAAGAUCUGCUCCUUUUGAGUCAUGGAGAAAGAAUAUUAAAUACACAGUUCCACAGGAAAACUUGGAGACUGAUACAGAUGAAUGUAACUGUGUAUAGUUACGUUCUCAUUUCCAAAGGUCUCUAACUCCUGUUUCUAUUUAUGGACUAAGAGGAUUUAAUGGACUAUAAGACCUUUCCAUGUGAGGAACCAAGCUGUGCUCCUGUAGAAUGUCAACUCCUCCAACGAGCAGAGAAGCAAACGAAAGGCUGAUUAGUUGGAAAUUGUCUCUUUUCAGGUAGUGGUAAGACAUUUUGAAACUUCUUACCUGACUGGCCUAUUUUGGCUGAUGCUCAUGUCCUCCAGUUGGAAUGUCACUGUAUCUAUACCCACGAAUUUUGAUAUGUGUCUUUGUCUACUUUGUUUUCUGCUACUUUAAUCCACUGGGCAUAUAAAAACAUACUCUACAACUAGUCCCCAGAAGAUGUCAACUGACUGUAGCCAACUAAGUUGCAAUGAGUUAAACCUUCACCUUUGUUGAUCCUUCACCUUUGAGUAUGCACUUGCAGAGACUCAAAAAAGCCUCACAGUCACAAAUCUGGAAGCUGAACAAAGUACACAAAUUUUAUUCUAAUGACUGUGAAAUGGAAGACCAGUCAGUAAUGUCACUGUAAG